AACAGGAUUAGAUACCCUGGUAGUCCACGCCGUAAACGAUGUCGACUUGGAGGUUGUGCCCUUGAGGCGUGGCUUCCGGAGCUAACGCGUUAAGUCGACCGCCUGGGGAGUACGGCCGCAAGGUUAAAACUCAAAUGAAUUGACGGGGGCCCGCACAAGCGGUGGAGCAUGUGGUUUAAUUCGAUGCAACGCGAAGAACCUUACCUACUCUUGACAUCCAGAGAACUUAGCAGAGAUGCUUUGGUGCCCUCGGGAACUCUGAGACAGGUGCUGCAUGGCUGUCGUCAGCUCGUGUUGUGGAAUGUUGGGUUAAGUCCCGCAACGAGCGCAACCCUUAUCCUUUGUUGCCAGCGGUUAGGCCGGGAACUCAAAGGAGACUGCCGGUGAUAAACUGGAGGAAGGUGGGGAUGACGUCAAGUCAUCAUGGCCCUUACGAGUAGGGCUACACACGUGCUACAAUGGCGCAUACAAAGAGAAGCGACCUCGCGAGAGCAAGCGGACCUCAUAAAGUGCGUCGUAGUCCGGAUUGGAGUCUGCAACUCGACUCCAUGAAGUCGGAAUCGCUAGUAAUCGUGGAUCAGAAUGCCACGGUGAAUACGUUCCCGGGCCUUGUACACACCGCCCGUCACACCAUGGGAGUGGGUUGCAAAAGAAGUAGGUAGCUUAACCUUCGGGAGGGCGCUUACCACUUUGGGAUUCAUGACUGGGGUGAAGUCGUAACAAGGUAACC
rnacentral:rRNA from 1 species